CUUGGUCAUUUAGAGGAAGUAAAAGUCAUAACAAGGUUUCCGUAGGUGAACCUGCGGAAGGAUCAUUAAUAGUGCCCAUUGAUGCAAAUCAUUGGGUUAGAUCUGCCCUUAUCGCAAGAUGAGGGCUUCCAUAUACACCGUGAACUGUGGCUUCGGCCAUCACAAACUGUUAGUAAUGAAUGUAAUAUCAUAACAAAAACAAAACUUUUAACAACGGAUCUCUUGGCUCUCGCAUCGAUGAAGAACGCAGCGAAAUGCGAUAAGUAAUGUGAAUUGCAGAAUUCAGUGAAUCAUCGAAUCUUUGAACGCACCUUGCGCCCUUUGGUAUUCCGAAGGGCAUGCCUGUUUGAGUGUCAUGAAACCUCACCCCACUUAGGUUUUUGCCUAAGCGGUGGUGUAUUGGGUGUUUGCCUUGCUAAAGGCUCGCCUUAAAGAUAUAAGCACCUUGGAUGUAAUACGUUUCAUCCUUCUGGGUGGCUGAUAACCCCACAUACUCAUGAUCUGGCCUCAAAUCAGGUAGGGCUACCCGCUGAACUUAAGCAUAUCAAUAAGCGGAGGAAAAGAGACUAACUAGGAUUCCCUUAGUAACGGCGAGUGAACCGGGAUGAGCUCAAAUUUAAAAUCUGGCGUCUUUCAGGCGUCCGAGUUGUAAUCUAUAGAGGCGUUUUCCGCGCCGGACCGCGUCCAAGUCUCUUGGAAUAGAGUAUCAAAGAGGGUGACAAUCCCGUACUUGACGCGACAACCGGUGCUCUGUGAUACGUUCUCAAUGAGUCGAGUUGUUUGGGAAU
rnacentral:sRNA from 1 species